UAAACAGCGAACGAGAUGUGCAGCAGUGGUAUUACACGUGAAAAAGCCCUUGUCUCUUUAACCUUGUUGUUUUUUUUCUCUCGCAGAGGUUACCUUUUCCCGAUGGUGCAAAAUCGACUUGACAUAACUGUUCAUCAGUUUCAGGGUUUUCCCUGGAGGUAUUUGCAUCAAAUCAACCCAGUCAAGCUUCAAGUUGAAAUUGGCAGGCCAGAAACUGACAGGGUAGCGACUGGGAAAGAGACAGCUAAAGUGCAGGCAGUAAACUGACAGCAGCAGAGUGAAAGACACACACAGAGAGAAGCUUUUCAACUUUAGUGGGAAGGGGUGGCGGCGGCUGGGGGGGGGGGCUGCAGAGAGAGAAACAUCAACUCUAAACCUUUUUAGGUCUUAAUAGUACUGAAUGCAGGCAGCAGCUCCUGAAUUGUGUUGGGAGACCCAAAGGUGUCUCCGCUCAAGUUCUUCGGACCAGGCAGCAGUACUAAGAUCUGGUUCACUGGUGUAUAAACUCUUCUUGCUUAAUGUGAUAGGAUGCCUAAAGAGGAGUGGUCAGCCUUAAUUAGAUCACAGUGAAAGUUCCUGUGGUACCUCCUAUGAACUUUCCAGAGAGAUGGGGAAGGGUGCAGUGAAAUAGAAAAGGAAGAUCCCUACCGUAGGCAUCCAAGGAAUAAAUGAGAACCAAAGGUUGGGUUGCUGUGCAAGACUGUAGCUGAAAUCCUACACAGGGGCAGGUUCUUUUCAGUGCCAUCUAACUGUUAUAGGAACAGUCCCGUCUAUAUUCAGGGUUGCUGCAUAUGUGCAUCUAUCUAUCUAUUCAUAUGGAUGAAUAUGAGUACCAAAUUCUAGUCCUACCUUCAUUCUGCACCACAGGUAAACUGUUGAGAGACUAGACACAUUUUUAUGGGAUACAAGGGAAGACAUAUAUUGACUUGCUGAGUGCAAUCCUAUGCAUGUUUACUCAGAAAUAAGACUGAUGGUGUUCAGAUGAGGCUUGUACUCAAAGAGUACGCAGGACAGCAGCCUAAAAUACAGCCCCACAGAAGUUUCCCUUUCAGCAGAACUAAAGCAAAUUCUUAAUUUCACGGAACCCCUUUCAACGAAAUAGACUCCCUCCCCCCAGAUCACUCAAUAGCGGUGUGCUUUUAUAUUCCUGUUUUAAAACAUCAUUGCCUGGAAUAGAUUUUCUUAAAACAGUAGGCUGUGAGAGAAGAUGAAACCUUGACAAAAAUCUGACAUCCAUCUAUUAUCCUGGAUUAGAAAGUUCAGUUAAUUCAGGGAGAUCUAUUUCCAAGCAAAUAUGUAUGUAGGAAGCAGAGGUGCUCGUGAAAACCUCAUCCUCCUUAUAUUUACUUAGUGGCAAACCCACAGAUUUCAAAGAAACUGGCCUCCCAAUGAAGUCUGGGAGCAAUGCAAUCCUAGCUGCGUUUCGUAAGAAGCGUCUCACUGAUUUCAAGUGAGACUUAAUUCUAAGCACUGCAGCCUAUUUUAAGAUCCCUUCUGAUUCUGAUUUAAAGAACUGAAAAUAAUAUGCAAGAAUAUGAGAGUCACAUUCAUGAUGAUUUCUGCCACCCGCCCCCCCCAAAGGGGGAGAAGUAGCAAAAAGAAAACCCUUCCUCAUAUAUGAGGUAUAGGUGUAUAUAUUAUGCAUCUGUUAUGAAUGCAAGUAUGCACAGUUUAUAAGUUCCACAUUUUUGUUGUUGUUUUUCCCCUUUUCGGCAUUCGCUCGCUGAUUUAUUUCUUUUUUUGAAAAAAUCCUCCUCCUCACUUUCCCUAACCAGACUUCUGCUACAGUAAAGCCUUGCUUUCAAACAGUUUUUCAGCCCUACAUGUGACAGGCAUUGGCUGAUCUGCUGAUGCCCAUUCGACAGGCACUGUUGAGCUAAAGUAGUGUGACGGCACAGUUUUGUUAAGCUGUGAACAAAGGACUGGAGAUGCCUCAGUAGCAUCAUCCAUGUGCAUAUUGGCCUUGUCACAGUUUUGCUUGAUUUAAUGCUCUGUUUAUUCCUAGAUAUUAGAAGUUAAAUUCCAAACAAUAUGUUUUCCCAUAUAGAACAAACUUUAGUUUGAAGGCUUCCGCUCCUGAGGAUGGCAGAUCCAUUUUGGUCUGACCAAUUGCCAUACAGCCAGCCUUGAAAACUCAGUAUCUUGGAUAAGAAGGGCUGCCAGCCUUUCCUUUGCUGUUUGUUAUCCAUUAAAAAAAAGGAGGAGGAGGGACAGGGCAGGUGGGGGUGGGGGGGAAGACAGAGGAGAGAGAUGAGAUUUCCUUAAUUUUGAAAAAAAAAGCUUAUUUUUUUUUUCCUUUGAUCAUUCAUUGAGAGUUGCUAUUUAUUGCAACAGUGGAUUUUCUUAUAAGCUCCUAAGGAACGGGUUACCCUCGGCGCAGAAGAGGGGCAGGCUGGCUGGCUGGACUUUUUCAAAUGACAUAUCACCCCCAUGGUACUGCUGUGAUAAAAGGAAUCUUUUUGCAAAUACCUGUAAGCACUGUCAGGAGGCUCAGCAGCCAGAAAUAAAGAUGCCAGAUGAUGGAAGGUGAACAGGAAUGAAGACGAAACAGGAUUUAAGAUAGUUUGGAGGGAAAUGCUCAUUAGGAAAACAGAACUUUAUAGAGAGGGAGCUCUGACAACAGAGGAACUGAAUGUAGGGGGUGAAAUCCAGGGCGCAAUUCUGUUGCACUGAAGAGAGGUGGUUGCUUUUUUUGAAAUGUAUUUUUAAGGUCUGCUUCCCCCUCCCCACCCAGCCACCUUCAGGUUUGUGCAAGUGUUUGUUAGGAGAUUAGCAAGCAGACUUAUGCAGAGGAUGUAGCCAUGGCAAGCUGAUUUUUGCUGGAAGGAAUGCUCCUUAGGUCAGGGUGUGAAGACAUAAGGAGCAGCAACGAACUGGGGUCGGAGAGCAGGUAUUUCCCUCUUUCUGUCUCAUGCCAAAGACAAAUGUUGCUGGUGGAAAGAUUGGUGGCAAGGCAUCAAAUCCCAGCAGGAGCACAGAUGUUCCCCCUUUUUAUAGGUUUCCCAAGGAACACUUUGGCUCUGAGCAGUUUAUCCCAGUCUGGGUCUGCAUGUGCAUGGACAGGCAGCCUGGUUUGUGUGUUUCCCCCCUCCCGGCAGGGUCAAGCAUAGGGUGGCGGGGCAAGUGCGGGUAAAGCCAACUGUUAUCUGCAGCAAACCACCCAGGUGACCGUUUUUGCAUCCUGCAGUAUCUGCCUGGGAAGUACUGCUCCAAGCUGAGGACUCCCCUCAGAGCUGUGCCUGAAGACAGAGUGCUGUGGGGAUGCUCUGCGAAUUAGCUUUGGCCAUAUUUUGGCUGUGCAAACCAUGUUGGCUAGGAAGGACAAGCUCAAGGCAUUAGGUUUCUCCACCAAAAAUGUAACAUCUGCUCAGUGCCAGAAGGGGGAAGGAAACUACGGGGAGAUAUCCCAUGCGAUAAAGAUUUCCUGGAGUGGAACCAUAAUGUGUAAAUAAGAUCAGUGUGUCUGAGUUUGAUGUUGUAAAAGAUUCUACCAAUCUCUUGCAAUCCUGGGCAAUUUUGCCUCAUUUCUCCUUCCGUAAAAGAGAGCUGUUCUUUGAGGGCUGCGAGUAGGUGGAGUGAUGGGGGGGGGGGGGAGAACACUCAACAAUAUGGAAGAAUCCCUUCUCCUCACAGUUCAUUCGAGAGCCUGCAUCUGAAAUUGAAUCUGCCGGACAAAAACCUGUCCCAUUUUUUUUCCUACCUGCCCUUAGCCUGCCUCCUUUCAACUAUGACAGUUUUACUAACUGAAAUGAAUGGCUUUGCCUUCCGUGGUACUUUUCUUAGUACACAUUUACAUCAAGGGCUGCAAACAGAGAGCUGGGUGAUAAAUGUAAGGGAGAAUUUGCAGAGAAUAAGCUUUAGUGCAAUGUAUAUUUAUAGAGAGAGCAGUUUUUUCAAAUGCCAGUCCUUAAAAAGCUACUCACUGUAGUCGGAUCACAAGAUGUGACAUAGUCUGUGCUGCUCUUGAAGCACAAGAGGUUUAUGUGUCUAGGUCCCAUAAGAGUUAAUGGAGGAUGUGCAUGUUAAUCUCCACAACUGUGAGAUAAUAGGGGCCUUUUUAUGUAGGGAUGAGAUGGGAAGCUUAUGAAAUUUCAAAAGGAACCCAGCGUUAGAUUUAAUGUAUCCUAUUAAUACUUUAUUUUAAAUAUUUAUAAAACAGACAGGCCAGAAGAAAAUAAGAUGUAAGACCCUUAUUAAUAACCCAGCAGCACACCUGGUCCUGCUCUUACUGAGGCUAAUGGCAAAGUGACUCUGGCUGCGCACAGCCAAUAGCUUCUGGGAGACUCAGACGCAGUUCUGUGGGUAUGUCAUCGCCUGUAGUACGUAAGUCAAUAGUUUGCAUUUCACUUUAGUUGCUGGUAGGAAUGUUCAGGGUUCCAAAUUAUACCUUCAGAAAGCCAAAACUAGACCCGGGGUGACAACACCUCCACACCAAUUUUGUGUGCACUGUUGUCAUAAUUGAUCCUUGGGGUAAGUGUCCAUGGCAAGUUGCAUUCUUGCACAUCCCCACCCCAGUACCCGAUGCACUUUUUGGCACAGUUUUUAAAUUCCACCAACUUACACACAUGCCCAUGCAGUUCCUUCCCCAAACAAAGGCCACAUUUCCCCUUAAGGCUGAAACUGACCAAACCCCAAGCUGCUUGGAAUCUGGUCCGGCAAAUUCAGCGUAUUCUCAUACUGUGAGACUAGGAGGAAAGACUCCAAUUAGGAAAACAGAGGGAACAGGAUCCUAUUCUGUAAGAGGCACCUUUGCCCCAUUAUAUCUGUAUCAUUUUCAGGCUGCCAAUACUUGAACAGAUCCUGACUGUGGUGCAGCAGGGGAGGUUCCUCUCUCUCUUCAUACUAUGGAAGGCAGGCUAGGAACUGGGCUGCACACAAGUGCCCUGUGGCUGACAGGUCUUGGCCACAGCGAACGAGAAAGCCAGUUACCUCCUGAGGUGGAGAGGAUUCCUGUGUAGGAAGCCCUGAGGCUUCUUCCUCCAACCAGCAAAUGCUGAGGAUUCCUCAUACUAAGGGCUGCAUAGAGUAUUUCAGCCAUGUGAGCGCUGUAGGCAAGUACUCAUUUUGUAAGGCUAGCAUGAAACAGAAUUUCCCUCAAUGUGCCUACUGCAGGAUAGUGGUUUGGUGUUUGGUCCAGUCGCCCAAGUGUUGCCGGAAUGGGGCAAGUUCUCAAACGUUUUCUUGCUGAAACAGGAAGGAACGGGCCCUUCCCUCCCACAGAUAACACCUUUGAAGUUUUGAAAUAUAACUUGAAAGGCCCGUAUCUGCAAUCUGAGCCUCUGAAAAGAGAAUUUAUCCUUUAGUUCAUGUGCAGCAAGAGAUAACAAGCCAGGCAGAGCGUGUGUGUGUGUGUGUUUCAGAAAGGGACUUCGAGCUAGUUUCCUGGGUGCCAUGCUCUCUGACCUGAAUGCCUUUCUGCAUGUUGCAAGUUCUGUAUGUGGAGGUCACUUGUGGCAACUUAAGGGCGAUGCAAAGGCACUCUGCAUGUUCUCAAAGGUGUUCUUCUAUAGGCCUGAAUUCUGGCAUUGAAAAUAGCAUUUCUAGAGAGGCAAUAGAGAAGCAGUCUCUCCCCUCUGCUUGUCAGGCUACGUGCAGUAUUCCUCGGGGGUAUAUCUGGGCUCUGGUUAUCAUGAACUGUACAGAGGUUUUAAAAAUACCUGCAACAAACUCUCUUUAAAUAUGCUGUAGGAUUAAUAUCUACAAUAUAACCUUUGAUAUACUGAAUAACAGUAUAUUCCUCUAUCUCCACUUGUUGUAGACCUAAGCUUUUGGUCCAAGAGCCACAUACCAUUGCAUCAAAAUCUGCAGCAGAGGGUGUCUUCACAGUUGCAGCAAGGUCAGGAAAAAAUGUAGCCCUUCCAUCUCUUGUUUGUGAUAUGUCCUGCACAUUUUCCUGUGAUAGCUGGACGAUCUUUUUUAAUGCACUAGGCUCUAGCACCCAAGCUCAGCUUUUCAAAAGUCAUCAAAUGUGGACUAUUUGGUGAAAUGUGUUGGCGUAUCAGAAUGGUGGGAUGCCUGUUGUCUUUUGAUUGUUGUGUCACCAUCCCUGAGUGAUGGAUACCAGUUUGUUCAAAGAAAGCUGACUUCAGUUACACUUGAUUUUCUGAUUCCAAAAGGGUACUGAAAACUCUAUGCCUGUCUAAUUAUAUUUUAUGCCAGGCUGUGCAAUACAAUAUACGUGCCACAGCAAUCAGCGAGUUAAUGGUAUCAAUCAAUUUGUAAACAGAUGAAGUCACUCAUUCUCAAACUGGUUCCCCCCCCCCCAAACAAUUACUAAAUUACAAUGGUGCGGGGGGGGGGAGAAGAGAAAUUGUACAGUUACUGUAUUUGUGUGCUGUGUUACAAUCAACAUACCAGGGAAACAAAACAAUUUAAUGCAGAAAAAUCAUCAUUCAUCUACAUUAUAAUUGCUUCUUUUUCACAUCUACAGGGCGGUUAAUUAAAAUUGUGAUUAAAUGCGGUCGCGCUGCCUAAGAUGUCUUGCCCAAAACAGGUGGUACAG